rnacentral:rRNA from 1 species
CUACGAGCCGCUCCAGUGGGGAAUAUUGGACAAUGGGGGCAACCCUGAUCCAGCAAUGCCGCGUGAGCGAAGAAGGCCCUAGGGUUGUAAAACUCUUUCAGUCGUGAAGAUGAUGACGGUAACGACAGAAGAAGCACCGGCUAACUUCGUGCCAGCAGCCGCGGUAAUACGAAGGGUGCUAGCGUUGUUCGGAAUUACUGGGCGUAAAGCGCGCGUAGGCGGAUAGAUCAGUCAGAGGUGAAAGCCCCGAGCUCAACUUGGGAACUGCCUUUGAUACUGUUUAUCUUGAGUCCGAGAGAGGGUAGUGGAAUUCCCAGUGUAGAGGUGAAAUUCGUAGAUAUUGGGAAGAACACCAGUGGCGAAGGCGGCUACCUGGCUCGGUACUGACGCUGAGGUGCGAAAGCGUGGGGAGCAAACAGGAUUAGAUACCCUCGUAGUC